UUAAGUCAGGCAACGAGCGAGACCCACGCCAACAAUUGCCAGCUUGACCUCCGGGUCGAUGGGGACAUUGUUGGGACCGCCUCUGCUAAAGGGGAGGAAGGAAUGGGCAACGGUAGGUCAGCAUGCCCCGAAUUAUCCGGGCUACACGCGGGCUACAAUGGUUGGGACAAUGGGUUCCGACACCGAAAGGUGAAGGUAAUCUCCUAAACCCAGUCUAAGUUCGGAUUGCGGGUUGUAACUCACCCGCAUGAAGCUGGAAUCCGUAGUAAUCGCGUUUCACCAUAGCGCGGUGAAUAUGUCCCUGCUCCUUGCACA
rnacentral:rRNA from 1 species